AUUUACUAAUCCAAUAACCAGAGCUUUAUUUGGGGACCAGGGAAUAAGGUCUAUUGGUUUUUGUGGUGGUGGUUGUACUGUGCCGACUGAUUCAGCAGCAUCUUUGACUAAACAGACACGCCAAAGGCUCAGAAUAGCUUCAGGUAUUUUCCAUAACUUUGUCCGUGCCAUAAAACGACUCUAGAACAGUAAUAUCCCCAUUGUCAUGCUUAACACUCAACUUAAUGAUUCAGUGACUUUACAGCUUGCAAGGUUGUGUUUAAUGACAGCUGUAAAAAUGGAGAUAACCCCUAUGUAACUAGUGUCACUUUAAUGAGUCUGAUGCUGAAAUUCAUGUCAGUUUCUCUCUUUUAAAAUGAUGGUAAGAGAAACUCGGCAUUACCAAGGGGCUGAGUGAGCCAGGGGGCUGGUGCUGUCCUUGGAAUCAGUGUUUGGAAACACUUUUGGAAUGGAAGAGGAUUAUUUUGUUAAUGUCUUUUUCUUAGUUCUUGUUCAAUACCAAAUCUCAGCCCAGCAUUGUAGCAAAUGCUUCUGUAAAUCAAGUUAAAAAUGUCAAAGUAGCUAAGAUGCAUCUGUUCAAACAAUUUCAAGGGCAGGAUGCUUUGAGUGGUGUUACCUGGGUAAAUACUAAGAAGUUCUUGUGUACCCUUUUGUCACAGACCUAGUCAAGUGUCCCCUCUGGGGCACUGUCCAGAUUGCUGUGAGGGGAACCAGUUGUCAGAUCCUGAGUGCUUGAGGCCUAACAAGUUCAUGCACUGCCCUUAGUCUGGGGUCCCAGCAUGCAGAUCCUCUGUCUAGCUACCCCUCUUGAGAGCUGGGGCCUCCGUGUCCAACCAUCCAGCUCCUGUGAUCAGUGCCAACUUCCCCUCCCAUUGUAUUCCCCCAUAGCUUAAACACACCUUGUUCAGAACUCCAUCUAUGUGAGCAUGCUGGUCCCACAGGUUAACAUUUCGAGGGCCUGAGAUAGGUGUAAUACAAUGCACAGGAAUCUAACAUGAUUGCUGUUAAUCAUACAAGAAAUAUACGGAUCUAGCCAAAGUAAUACACUUUUCAUGCAUUUGCCUUAGUUUCCUCCCUAUUCCAGAGCAUUCUUUGGGCUGGGGUCAGUCUUCCCUGCGGACCUCCAGGGUCCUUCUACAGCUGGUUUGACUUCCCAAUCAUGGCACCUUUCUCUCUUUCUCUGUCUCUUUCUGUCCAGGUCAGCUUGCUUUGACUUUGAUUGGUCCCACAGCUAAACUAAGGAUGGGACAAGUAAGCCAUAUAAGCAAAGUUUGAAGGAACUGAUUAUAUUUAGUUUGGAAAAGAGGAGAUUGAGGGGGAACAUGAUAGCAGUCUUCAGCUACUUGAAAGGCUGCCGUGAAAAAAGCUGGAGAAAAUUUGUU